rnacentral:rRNA from 1 species
ACGGGGGGGGCAAGCGUUGUUCGGAAUUACUGGGCGUAAAGGGCGCGUAGGCGGUUGGAUAAGUCAGCUGUGAAAACCACGGGCUUAACUCGUGGCCUGCAGUUGAGACUGUCUGGCUUGAGUGUGGGAGAGGAGAGUGGAAUUCCUGGUGUAGCGGUGGAAUGCGCAGAUAUCAGGAGGAACACCGGUGGCGAAGGCGGGUCUCUGGGCAGUAACUGACGCUGAGGAGCGAAAGCGUGGGGAGCGAACAGGA